GAUGAACGCUGGCGGCGUGCCUAAUACAUGCAAGUCGAGCGAACGGACGAGAAGCUUGCUUUUCUGAUGUUAGCGGCGGACGGGUGAGUAACACGUGGAUAACCUACCUAUAAGACUGGGAUAACUUCGGGAAACCGGAGCUAAUACCGGAUAAUAUUUUGAACCGCAUGGUUCAAAAGUGAAAGACGGUCUUGCUGUCACUUAUAGAUGGAUCCGCGCUGCAUUAGCUAGUUGGUAAGGUAACGGCUUACCAAGGCAACGAUGCAUAGCCGACCUGAGAGGGUGAUCGGCCACACUGGGACUGAGACACGGUCCAGACUCCUACGGGAGGCCGCAGUAGGGAAUCUUCCGCAAUGGGCGAAAGCCUGACGGAGCAACGCCGCGUGAGUGAUGAAGGUCUUCGGAUCGUAAAACUCUGUUAUUAGGGAAGAACAUAUGUGUAAGUAACUGUGCACAUCUUGACGGUACCUAAUCAGAAAGCCACGGCUAACUACGUG
rnacentral:rRNA from 1 species